rnacentral:rRNA from 1 species
UACGAAGGGGGGCUAGCGUUGCUCGGAUUGACUGGGCGUAAAGGGCGCGUAGGCGGUUCGUACAGUCAGACGUGAAAUUCCUGGGCUCAACCUGGGGGCUGCGUUUGAUACGUGCGGACUUGAGUGCGGAAGAGGGUCGUGGAAUUCCCAGUGUAGAGGUGAAAUUCGUAGAUAUUGGGAAGAACACCGGUGGCGAAGGCGGCGACCUGGUCCGAUACUGACGCUGAGGCGCGAAAGCGUGGGGAGCAAAUAGG